rnacentral:lncRNA from 1 species
CACGUUACACCCACAGUCAGAAGAAACAGCCACGUGUACAACCUACUGAAGAUGGGGAAGCAGUAAGGAUUGAAGGUUGACCAGUUUAGUUUCUAUUUUUAGUUGUUGAAUUUUUCUUUAAGCAUUUGUUAGUAUUUCCGCAAUGUAAGGAGGGUAUCUCCACUUUCAGUUAUUUCCAUUAUCUUAGGAGGUUGUGACUCCAUGAUCAAGUCAUGAUUCCAUUGAUGUAGCAAAGGGUGGUUUACAUCCUAUAUAAAUAUUCAAUAAUUAUCAAUGAAGAAAUCAACUUGGAAAUCAUUAUAGUUUUGAGUACUUUAAC